rnacentral:lncRNA from 1 species
AUGUCUGUUUUACAAUCUUUCUUGUUGUCACUGAUGUGUGUGUUUCUUUUAUGAUGUCUGUCUUAAGACUUCUUUAGGCUUUUCUUAUUUAGCUAUUCAAUUACAGGCAAAAUCAAAUGCUCCAAAACCUAAUCAAAGAAAGAAAUGGCGGAAAUCUACUAUUCAACUUGUUCCAGCUCCACCACCUGCCGCUGAACCUGAAAAUGUUGAAGGAUCUGUAAAGCCUGAAAUCAGCUCAAGUGAGAGUGAUAUUUCCUUGAAAUUACCCAGAUUUAUGCGCUCUGCUUUCGUGCAAUAAUCCUUUAAGAGAAAGGAAUUCAGAUGCACACAGUGAUUCUACUGUUAUGAAGGAGAUUGGAGUUACAGCUUCUAGAAGUCCUCAAGAACAAUCGAGAACAACAGAUGAGAAAGAAAAUAAUUAUAAGCCAUAAUUUCCUCUGCUGCAGUUGGUGGUUGAUUAAUUUUGUACAAGCUGCUUUUUCUAACAUUUUGAAGAGAUUGGAGGUUCUUUUGGUGUUCUGUAGUAGGCGAUUGGCUCUUUGUGUAAUUUAAUUAGUGGCUGACCUGUAGAACCGCAAUUUGUUUCUCCAUUGCUGGUUCCAAAAUUGCUGAUUCAAUCUUCAAAGUGACUCUCAGAGCAAGCUCUUUAUGAUCCGUAAGGCGGUGCAGUUGUAAAAGCUCCUGUGUUCAUCAUGCAUGUACAUUUUUCUUGUGCUUGUUGAUGCUUGGAAUUGACUCAAUAUGUAACGCGAGUU